AAAUAUGUCUAUUGUGUGACGGACCAUGCAAAAACUAUGUGGUGUGAAUUGUGCAUUAGGAACGUGCAGGUAAAACAGGUGUGUUUCCCACUGGACACUUGUUGCAUAUGGGAAAGAAUAUGCGCAAGUAUGCCAAGAUGCAAACGCAAACGGACGGAGUUCGGGUUGAACCUGCUAAUUGUUGCACUUCACUUUUCGUUUAAGCGGACCAGCGCGGUACCGGCGUUAGACGAGAUGAGGCCCUUGGAUAAGGGACGGACAGCGGGAUGCUGUUCCGUUGUGGGGGUCGGCGGACAGACCGACAGUGAACAAAUAUGGCGUAUCCAACGCCAGGAACAAGCUGGGGCGAACGGUCGUAGGCUGCACAGGACUUGGAAGGAACAGGAGGUGCACCUGAAGAUCCGGCUCGAAGGACAAUGUUGGCGUGGGGCGUUGGGGGUGAAAGUCCAAAAACCGCAAGGGAAGUAAAAUGGCGUCUGCUUUCCUUUUCACUGUGACGUGACUCGCACUGGCGCUUAGCUGCCCAUAUGAAAGAGGGAGAGGCCGCCGACGCUAGCAGCGCUCUGCCAGCAGAUGUUGCUGGCAAGCGUUGCCAUGUCAACACUGGCAGAGUGCUGCCACAUCAACAAAUAGGAAGAACGCGCCAAUGAAAUAAAACUUGGGGUUACCAAAAAAGGAAAUUAAUCAAUCAGAAGAAUGUAGCGGUCCUGAAAAUUAACACCGAUACAGCAAAGAAACAAAAUAU